rnacentral:rRNA from 1 species
GACGGGUGAGUAAUGCUUAGGAAUCUGCCUAUUAGUGGGGGACAACAUUCCGAAAGGAAUGCUAAUACCGCAUACGCCCUACGGGGGAAAGCAGGGGAUCUUCGGACCUUGCGCUAAUAGAUGAGCCUAAGUCAGAUUAGCUAGUUGGUGGGGUAAAGGCCUACCAAGGCGACGAUCUGUAGCGGGUCUGAGAGGAUGAUCCGCCACACUGGGACUGAGACACGGCCCAGACUCCUACGGGAGGCAGCAGUGGGGAAUAUUGGACAAUGGGCGGAAGCCUGAUCCAGCCAUGCCGCGUGUGUGAAGAAGGCCUUUUGGUUGUAAAGCACUUUAAGCGAGGAGGAGGCUACUGGUAUUAAUACUACCGGAUAGUGGACGUUACUCGCAGAAUAAGCACCGGCUAACUCUGUGCCAGCAGCCGCGGUAAUACAGAGGGUGCGAGCGUUAAUCGGAUUUACUGGGCGUAAAGCGUGCGUAGGCGGCUUUUUAAGUCGGAUGUGAAAUCCCUGAGCUUAACUUAGGAAUUGCAUUCGAUACUGGGAAGCUAGAGUAUGGGAGAGGAUGGUAGAAUUCCAGGUGUAGCGGUGAAAUGCGUAGAGAUCUGGAGGAAUACCGAUGGCGAAGGCAGCCAUCUGGCCUAAUACUGACGCUGAGGUACGAAAGCAUGGGGAGCAAACAGGAUUAGAUACCCUGGUAGUCCAUGCCGUAAACGAUGUCUACUAGCCGUUGGGGCCUUUGAGGCUUUAGUGGCGCAGCUAACGCGAUAAGUAGACCGCCUGGGGAGUACGGUCGCAAGACUAAAACUCAAAUGAAUUGACGGGGGCCCGCACAAGCGGUGGAGCAUGUGGUUUAAUUCGAUGCAACGCGAAGAACCUUACCUGGUCUUGACAUAGUAAGAACUUUCCAGAGAUGGAUUGGUGCCUUCGGGAACUUACAUACAGGUGCUGCAUGGCUGUCGUCA